GGAAAUGUGGCUUAGUGGUAGAGUGCUUGCCUAGUAUGCAUGAAGCCCUGGGUUCGCUUCCUCAGUACCA
rnacentral:tRNA from 1 species